GCGGCGCUGUAGCAGCUGCUACGGCUGCUGUCUUUGGCCUCCUCGCCUCCACAGCGGCGGGAAGCUCGGCAGCGCCCAGGCCGGCCUAGCGCUGAACCCUCGGCCCCCCUUGCUCCCGUCUGGGCCGCGACUGCGACCGCCUCAGCAUCCUCCCCAGCCCUGCCAGGUCGGGUGACUGGGCAUGCGCAACGGGAGCUGAAGUUCUUCCUCAUGCACUGGCCAGGAUGGGCGGGCAAGAAGAGAAGCGUCGCCUUCUUUGAUAGAGGCUCAGAGUCCGACCUGCCUUCACACUUCAUGCUUAGAAGCGAGUCCCGCACAGGCUGCAUAAUACCCAGCUCACAGUCAUUCCACCGCCCCGAAGAAAAACUGGCAUUGGCGUCUGUGAGAGGCUUGAGCCCCAAAUGGCACGUUUUGCGUGUCACGGUCGUUCGACGACCGACUCCUCGUAUUUAGGAAAGAAAGCCGCUUCCGUUAUGUUGAGGGGAGGGGACGGGACGAUUUGCGCAUCGCGUGUUAGGGGGAAGCCUUAACCACACGCGUAUGGAGUUGGUGAUAUUGGUAAUCCGUCCCCGCUGACCAAGGAACCGUUGUUUGUGGUAUGAUCCCAAUCAGCGCGUCGAGGCUCUUACCACAAAUUAGAAAAUAUUCUGAAGGGCUGAACAAGAUCUAAAACUGGAACUUGAAAUGGCCUCUAUGGAGUUCCCAGCUGAACUACUGUGGUAUUAUGAUGACAAACAUUCUGUCUAAGCACUGAGUAGACAAAGACCUGCUUAACUUUAACACUGUAACAGCCGUAUCUGUCUUCAGACUAUAUUUAGCCUGUAACUACCUUUGCAUUUCCUGUUAAAUAAAGAGUGUUCUCA